rnacentral:tRNA from 1 species
GCGCCCGUAGCUCAGCUGGAUAGAGCGCCGGACUACGAAUCCGUAGGUCGGGGGUUCGAAUCCCUCCGGGCGCA